GUUUUCCAAACGUUUACUCGUAAACGUCCGACUGUACCCGUUGACCGGAUGACCGAGAAAGCGGCCGAACUUACCGCCGUGUCUAUCGGGAGUAUUUAUACGGCCGGAAAAGAGAGAGCCAUCCCAGACCUGACAAAAAAAAAAAGCAAACGUCGGCCAUUACGGGUACAGCGCGCUUUCUUUUUCCACCACCGGCCUCCGACUCUGGAGAAGCUACGACCGUUAACCGUCACUCCCGACGACCAGACCCGAACAGAUCCUGGCUGUCCGCCAUCAUUUCGAAAUGGUUAAACGGAGCCGGAAAAGUGUUAGACGGACAGAGACAGCGU
rnacentral:lncRNA from 1 species